UGAAGAAUUUGUCCAACGGCAGGGGAUAGCCGGCCCAACGGCCGGGUAAUACCGCGUACGACCUUCGAGGGGCAUCCCUUGAUGGUGAAAGCCGUAAGGCGCCGAUGGAGAACUUCGCGGCCUAUCAGCUAGUUGGUGAGGUCAUGGCUCACCAAGGCGACGACGGGUAGCUGGU
rnacentral:rRNA from 1 species